rnacentral:rRNA from 1 species
AGAAUCAACGCUGGCGGCGUGCCUAACACAUGCAAGUCGAACGAGAAAGUGGAGCAAUCCAUGAGUAAAGUGGCGCACGGGUGAGUAACACGUGACUAACCUACCCUUGAGUGGGGGAUAACCUAGAGAAAUCUGGGCUAAUACCGCAUAAUACCUUCUGGUCAAAGGAGCAAUUCGCUUAAGGAGGGGGUCGCGGCCGAUUAGUUAGUUGGCGGGGUAAUGGCCCACCAAGACUGUGAUCGGUA